CUGACUCAAUAGAUCUCCUUAUGCUGUCACUGUGUCUUCAAAACUGUCAUCAACAACGAUACUGAAUGAAGUUGACGAGACCUUAUUUGAUGUAGCUUACAACUCCGUAGGUGCUCUUGGCCCUCACCUGUAGCCUGCAAGAGGUCAGAGAGAAGACUGGUUUGUUAUCCCAGGUGUGAAUCAAGUGAAGGUCUGACUGCAUGCCCUCCAUCUGGCACUAGAAAGCCAGCUUCACUGUGUACAAGGAACACAGUCUUGUCCAACGCAGCCUGAAACAAAAACAACAACAACAAGAGAAAAGCAAGAGAAGAACAAGAAUCUGUCACAGCCAAGAGGUGCCUAAGGAGACCUGAGCACUAUAGGCAACGUGGUGCCCUGGAUUAAAUUCUGGGACAGGAUAAGUAUACUAGAGAAAAAACUGAUGAAACUCCAAUAAAGUCUGUAAUUU